GUGGUUAUUUGACAAGUUUCCUGUCAGCGGUUUUCAAACUGAACAAAUAUGACAGGCUCUCUGUGUCUGUAUCCAAUCCUGAAUUGCUCGACAUUGACAAUUACAAUGAUCAUUUUCUGGUUUAUUACACUUAUGAUCUGCCGAACUAAAGUGAAUGGGACCCAUGCAAACCGCAGAGGAGAGACAGAACUGUUUCUAGCGUAACCAGUGAGCCGUGAAAUAGAUGAAGCAUUCAAACCUUACACUGAGCUUUGCCAACUCCACAAGGAGGAUGAG